rnacentral:lncRNA from 1 species
GUGUACAGCAUCCUCAACGGGAGACGGUGGGACCGAGGCUUCGGCGUGUCCUGCCGUCGGCUUCUCUGCUUUGGUGGCCACCUCCACGCACUGGGAAUCGUUUCCGGUUCCAUGAAAUUGAUCACAUGGCUCCCCGUUUUCUUCUUUAGGAUUUCUAUCGUCUCGACCAUAUUCCUGUCCCAGUUUUUCUCUUUUGGCUGGAUAAUCCUCGCACUUUCCCAUUUCACUUCUAUAUCGUGGAGCAGCGACCUCUGGCUUAGCGCAGUGGAGAGUUUACCGUAUCUGAGGUCUGCCUUAUGCUCUUUUAUCCUAUCCUCCAAAUUCCUUUUAAUCUGUUCCCAGAUUUAGAAAUUUUGAAAAUAAUAAUAAAAUAUGCAG